GACGAACGCUGGCGGCGUGCUUAACACAUGCAAGUCGUACGGUAAGGCCCUUUCGGGGGUCCCCGAGUGGCGAACGGGUGCGUAACACGUGAGUAACCUGCCCACAACUUUGGGAUAACGCUAGGAAACUGGGGCUAAUACUGGAUAUGUGCUCCUGCUGCAUGGUGGGGGUUGGAAAGCUCCGGCGGUUGUGGAUGGACUGGCGGCCUAUCAGCUUGUUGGUGGGGUAGUGGCCUACCAAGGCGGCGACGCGUAGCCGGCCUGAGAGGGUGACCGGCCACAUUGGGACUGAGAUACGGCCCAGACUCCUACGGGAGGAAGCAGUGGGGAAUAUUGCACCAUGGGCGCAAGCCUGAUGCAGCAACGCCGCGUGCGGGAUGACGGCCUUCGGGUUGUAAACCGCUUUCAGCAGGGACGAAGCUUUUUGUGACGGUACCUGCAGAAGAAGCACCGGCUAACUACGUG
rnacentral:rRNA from 1 species